CCACCUGAAUCCCUUACUAAAGUACUGAAUGUUAUAGGACAAAUGCCCUUGUUAGUAGUUCCUCUUUUCCAAGACUCCAGGUCAGCCAGUCUCUUUUUUCUUACCCUCUAGAACAGCACAGUCCAACAGAAUUUCCUGCAGUGAUGGAAAUGUUCUAUCUCUAUGCUGUCCAAUGUACCAAGGUAGCCACUAGCUAUAUGUGUCUGUUGAGCACUUGAAAUAUGGCUAGUGUGACUGAGGAACUGAAUUUCUAAUUUUGUUUAAACUUAAAUAGCCAUAUAUGGCUAGUGACUGCCAUAUUGGACAGCACAACUCUAGGUUUUACCUGGGUUUAUUCUUAGCUCUUGGCCAUCCAUGUCCUUUUUUAGGAUGCUUUUAUUUUAUUUGCCUUUCUAAUCCUGUCUUCUGAAAUUUGAGCACUUAUUGCUCUAACAGCUCUCUCUUUCCUGAGAAAAGAAUGCUUUUCAUUUCUAGUAGCAAAACCUAUGUUUAGUCUGCUGGUCUUUGCUGUCAUCCCUCUUGGUGUUUGCUUCAUAGCUCACCCAGAACACUUCCUUUAGGGAGUAAUGUCCUUGUUCUUACACCUCCCUGGGGAUAGUCUUUCCAGUUAAGGAUACAUUUUAUUGCCUAUUUCUGCUAAUUAUUCUGUAUCUUCUUGUUAGAGUUUUUUUGAAGAGGACAAAUCUUUUUUAUCAUAAAAUUUAUAGAUUUAGCUAUACAUAGCAAGGCAAGUUUUAAGCCAACUCAUAGUGGUAACUUCAUUAGAACUGGUGUAGUGAUAUUCCAGAGCAAAAUAGACAUCCAGGAUUUUCUCUAGCUUGGAUAUUGUCUUAAAUUUUCAGUUACAGGCAAACUCUCUUUGCAACUAGGAGCUAGGGUGAUGUUUACUGGAAUACUUGACUCAUUAAUUUUAAGUGCCUUCAGAACUGUUAAUAUGCUUGUGUCAGAAAAAUAGUUCUAAUGAAUUAGCAUCCCUACUUUAGCAUAUAUGCCAUUCCUGGAGAGAAUUGAAAUAAUUUAUGACAUCAUCUGUGUUCUCUGUCAGUUAUAGCUACUACACAUGCAAUUUGGGCAAACCUUGUAACCAGAGGAUUUUAACUUCAAGAUCACAACCAGUUAGCGAGCAACCCAGACAUCAGAUGUUAGGAACAUAUGGUGUGAAGGCAAGACAAAGCUGGUGCCUCUGGCCAGUAUUCUUGAUGUAUGUUUUAGAAGGGAUCGCUGUCAGCAGUGGAAGGAGGAGUGAUCCAGGGUCUUGCAUUCCACCAGGUUCAAUAAGGACCAUUUUUGGGGAAGAAUGGAGCCAAAAGUGAGAAGGGCUCUGUCUUUCCUCUACUUCUCCCCAUUUUAAACUUUUCUUUUUAAGUUUGGGACUUGUUGAUCAAAGAUUAGGAACCAAGCCAAAUCGUCAGGCAAGGGAAGCGAUUAGGAAGAAUCAUGUUCUAGAAAUCAAUAUUAAAGGAGGUAGGUCUGGUUAACUGGGCACAAAGUCAUGGUCUUGGGAUAUACUUGGGGGUCAUCACCUCUCAAGAGUUACCAUAUGCUGCUGUAGCUGUUUUGAAUAGUGACUGUUAUAUCUGUGUUUCUUCUGCUCAGAACUAACAGUGGUUAAUAGCUGUCUCUAAGAAUUUGAAUGGCUGUAUUAUGAUACAGGAAGAACUGUCAAUAGAACCCCAUUGUCAGUAGCUUAGUAGGUAGAUUUAAUAACAUAACCUUGUCCUACACUUGGCAUAAUAAUGGAAGAAGUUUAAAGCAAGCUAAUAGCAAAUUCAAAAUUGUGGUCCAAAUAAAUUGUUUUUGAACUGCCUUUGGGUCAUUCCUCUUCCAGAAACGGUUACAAUAUUGAAUAUUUAUCCCCAGUUUAUGUUAAGAAGAGAUGUUCUGUAAACUUCUUUUCUGGUUAUGGCUAUAUCCAGAUAAACUGUGAACACCAUUCGCAAAUGGGGUGUAUGUGCAAUUUGAAGGUGGGAUGAGAGGUACACGUGGUGUCUCAUGUAAUACAUGACUACUUUAAACCAAAACCAAACCCAUUACUGUCAAGUCAGUUCUGACUCAAAGCCACCCCAUAGGCCAGACUAGAACUGCCCCAUAGGAUGUCCAAGGCUGUAAUCUUUAGGGAAGCAGACUGCCUCAUCUUUCUCUUGCGAAGUGGCUGGUAGGUUCAAACCAUGGACCUUUUGGUUAGCAGCCAAGUGCUGAACCUCUGUGGCACCAGGGCUCCCUUGUUCACUUUAGCAGAUCUGAUAUUCUUAAGAAAUGGAUAAAUUCCCAGCUACCAAUAAUGAAUGAUUUAGUCUCUUGUAGAAUGUGCAUCUCUCAUUCAUGUGUCAUUUGCAUGGUAUAUGGAUAGAUAUCGUGUAAAUUUCUAGAUAUAUUUACAUAUUUAUGAAUUUUCUUUAAACAUUUUAAAGUGAAAAUGUGUAGUCAGCAUUGAUAGUAGUAGCAUGCACUGUUUGGUUUGCAGAGCAAUUCUAAAUCAGUUGUAGUUAUCAAUAAAGGUAAAGCGAACUAAUUGUGCCUAUUCCUUUUUCUUAUUUAGGGCCUCCUUUCCUCUCAUUCUGACAUCACUUUAUUUCAAAUGCAUUGUAAGACAGGAAGCACAUUGAGAUAGUAUCAAAACCCACUUCCUUUUAUGUACAAAAAUAAAGAGCUCAGACAGCAAAACUGAUACUUCUAGUUAAAAAUCGAUAGAAGCUUUCUUGAUAGCUAUAUGUUUCUGCCAAGUAGGAACAGCGAACUGACUUUGAAAUUUGGUCCAGUAUUAAAACUAGUUUCUUGAUUUCUGUGUAACGUGAAAGAACUUAGAAGUUUGCGGUUUUGGUUCCUAAUUUUCAGACAGGAAACAAUGCUCAGAGGAGAGCUUUAUGGAAUUCCAAGCCAAGAUAGUCAAGGUAUCCAGAAGCAAGGAAGGUGUUCCGGUUCUCCAUCUUCGAGCAGGGGGCUGUCUGAACAUAUUUAGGAACCGCAGCCUGCCCAGUUUGGAGUAGACUGCACUUGAUAUGGGAAGAAAGGACUUGGAGCUAAAAAGGGUCCCUUACCUCUAGAAAUGAUGUUUCUGUCAAGAAAGACUAUUGCUGGAAUAAAAACUCUCCCUUAAGAGAAGAAUUACUGUUGUUGGAGAUUAUAACUGAAGUUUCCAAAAUUAAUCAGUCCUUCAACUAUCAAUAUUUUGACAGUUAAGUUUCCAUUUGACAUUACUGCCCCAAUGUUUCUGAUAGUCUCUCUGCUACUUCAGAGGGGCCCGUUGAAUGUCUUCAGGUGAAAAUAAAAAUUUAAGUCAGAGAUUAUUUACUAAAGGUUUUAACUGAAAUGGAUCUAAAAUGUUAAUAGUCCACAUCCUUUUGAGCUGAUUCAAUGUAAUAAUCAUCUGUUGAAAUGGAAAAUUCUCAGUGUUAUAAAAUAUCUGAAAAAUAGUUCCUUCUAGACUGAUACUCAGUGGAUGGUACAUAAAUAUCCAACAACCUGGAAAUACUUCAGUCAACUAUGUAAAACUGGCUUUGAUGAGUUUCAAGUUCUAAAAUUUGUUUUCCUUUUUCCUGAAAACACUUAAUUUUAAGCUUUGAAAAAUAUACUAGGUUACUAUGUUCUUUUUAUGAUGUUGGCUUUGGUUCUUUAACUCAAAUAAUGAGUAGCUACUGAUCUUUUGAUCAGGAUUUGUUAUUUUUACUGAUCUUUUGGUCAGAAUUUGUUAAUCGUUUGUUGUAUGUGCCUGUUUGAAAGCAAGCAUUUUGUUUCUAAUCAAAUAAAAAUGUUCCUAAAUAAGAGUGCUUUUAAUCUGUUGACCAUUCCCCACUGGAUUAUGAUAUAAUUGAUUAUGAUAUAACCUUGAGGAGUAUCAUUUUGACCAUUAGUUUAUUUACAAUAACCAAAGUAAUAUUGUCGUUGUCAUUAGGUGCCAUUGAGUCACUUCUGACUCAUAGUGACCCUAUGUACAAUAGAACGAAACACUGCCCAGUCCUGCACCAUACUCAAACAAUAGUUGCUAUGUUUGAGCCCCUUGUUGUAGCCACUGUGUCCGUCUGUCUCAUUGAGGGUCUUCCUCUUUUUUGCUGACCCUCUACUUUGCCAAACAUGGCGUCCUUCUCCAGGGACUGAUCCAAAGUAUGUGAGACAUAGUCUCCCUUUCCUUGCUUCUAAGGAGCGUUCUGGCUGUAUUUCUUCCAAGACAGAUUUAUUCAUUCUUUUGGCAGUUUGUGGUAUAUUCAGUAUUCUUUGCCAACAUGAGUCUAUUUAAAUAUGCCUUAUAUAUUUAAAUUUAUGAGUCUAUUUAAAAAAUGCCUUUACUCAACUACUUGCCACAUUCAUUCUUUCUCCAGUAUGUACGAUUUGUCAGUUAUUUGGGGAACAAAUUUAUAAGGUGUAGAUCCUACCCUUAAAGUUCUCUCAGCAUAUCUAGAGGUAUAGAAAGAUAAGCAGAUAAUUAGCAAAUUACUUAAUAAGUCACAUGUGUUUAUAUUUAUCAUAUUAUGAAAGCGUAUUGGGGGAGUAGUGAACUUUACCUUACUUGCUAAGUAUUGAAUGAAUUACGGAAGAUUCUAAGAUACGGUCCUUUCCUUGAAGAGUUUUCACUAGGGAAGAUGGGAUGUAUCAUGGGAAGAAGAUACAUAUAAAGCCAGGAAGGUGGGAGUACGUAUAGUAUUUUCAGAAAGCUGAAGGAAGAUCAUCUUGGCUGGAAGAGAGAAUUUGUGGAAGGAAAGGGGUUGAGAUCAAACUAUUAAUCUUUAGUGCUAGUACCAUUAUUUAUAGGUUAUUGGUGUGCACAGAGUAGUGUUUUAAGAAAAUUAGAGCGUGUAGUAUGGAUUGGAGAAGGGAGAGAGUGGUAAUAAUGAUGACUCUACCAAUUUUCAUAACUGCAUAUCAAGAGGAACAUGAUUAUUGUUUAUAGACCUUUUCCAUUGGUUUCAUCCUCUUGUCCAUUUGGUAUCUGAGUUAAUAUGCUGGCUUCUUUGUUUUUCUACUCAAUAGUGUUUAGGUUAAUAUAAUUUAUUCCUAGUUACUGGUGUAUAGGUUAAAACAAUUCAUUUCCAUUCCACUGUUGAAAAUCAUGCUGUGCGUAGUAUAUUUCCUUGGUGUGCAGGAUGGUGUUUAAAGUGAACAGUAAAACUAGUAAUAGGAAGCAUGAGUGAUUAUUUUUCUGUAAGCGCCACUUACCCAGUAAGAAAAGAUUAUAAAUGAAGCCUUAAUGUAGUUAAGAUGCAGUCACAAUGUCUAUUUUUCAAACAAGGUUUUAUUUUUAUAUGUUUACACAUUUUAAGGUAUAGCCCUAGAAAACCUUGUAUGUGAACCUCAUUUGAAUAGCAAUGGUUUUGAUGGACCACAUUCGAAUAGCGAUAGCUUAGAUGAUUCGUCAGCCUUAUAAACUAUUGAAAAUGCUGUUUUUCUUUUUUUAAAAAAAAAAACAUUAUACUUAUAUUUAAAGGAGAAAAAAUAUGAGAUGGUGUCCCUUUUUUAUUCAGACAGAAAAUAACUACCUCCAUGAGUAAAUAACUGUAACGAUCCUUUGAAAGAAGUAAGAUGAAGGUAUAAGUAAGAAGACAAAGGAGGGCGUGGACUGCGCAGCCCAGCUUCCCAGAGGCUCCCUGGAGACCCUCCUCAAGGGAGGGGACACGCCACAGCCAUUGCUGCCGCCUCAUUAACUACAAAAUAGUCGGAUAAUAGAUUUUUUACUAUUGUUAUGUGAAAUGUUGGAUGAGGAGAUAAUCGAGGAGUAAGUGUAUUGCAAAUAACUUCCCUCUCGGGCAUGUCUUUGCAAUCUCUUGAAGGUAUCUUUUGAUUAUUAGAAUUUCUUAAUUUUAAUGUAAUGCAAUACAGAUAUACCCUACUUUUCAAAAAUUGCCUUUCACCACUUCACGUUUAUGAAAGAUCUAUAUUAGUACCUGUUUUCGCUAACCAAAAGAAAUCCAAAGAGAAUUCUCACUUUUAUGAAAAAAGGCUAACCGCGGAAAUAGUGUUCAGUGUUUGUGUUGCAGCGAGCCUUUAAAGAGGCACUGCCCACCCCAAGCAGUGAGAGUGGCAUCGCCAAGCUUCUUCCCCGGGAACUAUACUCAGCAUCUCAGUAUCAAGCUGCUAUAGCUUUGAACUGUGUGAGUAUCUGUGCUUUAGCUCAAUUUAUUUUGUGCAUCCAUUAGCAAAACGUGUACUAAGGUAUCAGAAAAGCCCAAAAGAGCUUGUAAGGGUUUUAUGUGUUAUUUGGUAGGUUAUUUUUUGAGUCUUAGAAUACUUAAAAUUUUUUCCCAUGUAAAUUAAUGGUAACUGCUACUUCACUUUACACCAUUUCGGCUUACAAAAGGUUUCAUAGGACGUGCUGUAUUUUUAGAUAGCAGGGGAAACCUUUAUUUCUUUUUCUCAAGAAAAUUGCCUACCUCACUGACAUAAAAAUAGUUUCCUCUGCGCUUGUAUGUUUUAAUGAAAGUUUUAUCCUUUUAUAUAACCAAAACAAAUCAAAUGGACAAAAAAGAAGGAUAUAGAACACUUAAGUGACAUAAUCAGUGAGAUAGCUUUUUAGAUAUAUAUCAAACUCUGGAUCCCUGUAAUAGAGAGCAAAGCUUUUCAAGUGCAAAUAGAAUAUUUAUAAAACUUCACAUUUUAACCACAAGCAAAAAAAUCAAAUUCUAAAUAAUUAAAAUAAAUACAGCAUAUGGAAAAGUACCAAAAAAAACAUGAUGGAAAAAACAUACAGCCUCUUUCACCUGUGUUAUUGUAUGCUUUUGAGUCGAUUCUGAUUCAUAGUGACCCUAUAGAACAGAGUAGAACACCACCGUAGGAUUUCCAAAGCUGUAAUCUUCAUGAAAGCAGAUUGCCACGUUUUUCUCCUGUGGAGUGCAUAGUGAGUUUGAACCGCCAACAUUUUGGUUUGCAGCUGAGCUCUUAACCACUGUCCCACCAGGUCUCUUAGACAUUUUAAAACGUUCUAUUAAAUUUCUCUUAGGUCAAAGGUGGUUUCAAAAACGUAGUUCUAGGAUAUAUUGAAACUAUAUUGUAACAGAAUUUAUGGGAUGUGACCAAAGAAGUUAUCAGGAAAUAAUUUAUGGCAUUGAAUACUACUGUCAAUAAAAAGAAAAUAAAAUAAGCAUACAACUGAGAAAAAAAAAAAGGAAUAAUAAAAAUCAAUAGAAAGCUAAGAAAUGAAUAAAAACAAAACUGAAAUUAGAAAGAAAAUCACUAGAAAGUUGGUUUUAAAAUGAAUCAACAAACUUCCCUAAUCUACUCUUUUUGAAAUAGGAAAAAGCAUAAGUGUACAAAUUAAGGUUGAGAUAAAUAUCAAAACAAAAUCUAAAAGAACAAGACUAUUUUUCACAAUGCUAUAAAAAUUUAGAUGAAAUGGAAUACUUUUCUCAGAAAACAGAGUGCACAAAAAUCGAAUCUAACCACAUAGGGGUCACCAUGAGUCAGAAUCAACUCAGUAGCAACCAAUGACAAAAAUGACGACGAAGAUACCACCUUACCAACACUAGACUGGUUAUGAUUUAAAAAAAAAAAAAGGAAAACAGCAGGUGUUGGUGAAGAUGUGCAGAUGUUGGAACCUUUAUUCCAUUGCUGGUGGUAAUGUUAAAAUGGUACAGCAGCUGUGGAAAACAGUUUGCCCGCUCCUCAAAAAGUUGAACAUAGAGCUAUCAUAUGAUCCAGCAAUUCAAUCCUAGGUAUAUACCCAGAAGAUUUGAAAGCAGGAAUGCGAACAGAAACCUGUACUCCAAUGUUCAUUUGCAGCAUUAUUCACUAUAGCCAAAAGGUAGAAACAGCCUAAAUGUCCAACAACAUAUAAUGGAUAAACAAAAUGUAGUACAUACAUACAAUGGAAUUUUACUCAGCUACGAAGAGAAAUGAAGUCCCAAUGCAUGCCAUAAUACGGAUAAACCUUGAAAACAUUAUGCUGAACGAAAUGUCAGGCGCAAAAGAACAAAUGCUGUAUGAUCUCACUUAUAUGAAAUAUGCAAAUAUAUAGAAACUAAAGAUUAUUAGUGGCUACCAGGGGUGGUUUUCACUGGCUAAUGCUUUUCAGAAGUAGACUGCCAGGUCCUUCUUCCUGGUAAGGGGAAAAUAUUAAACGAUGCAGGAAACAUCAAAAGAAGAUGGAAGGAAUGCACAGUCAUUAUACCAAAAAGAAUUAGUCGAUAUUCAACCAUUUCAAGAGGUGGCAUAUGAUCAGGAACUGAUGGUACUGAAGGAAGAGAAGUCCAAGCCGCUUUGAAGGCAUUGGUGAAAAACAACGCUCCAGGAAUUGAUGGAAUAUCAAUUGAGAUGUUUCAACAAACAGAUGCAGCGCUGGAGGUGCUCACUCGUCUAUACCAAGAAAUAUGGAAGACAGCUUCCUGGCCAACUGACUGGAAGAGAUCCAUAUUUAUGCCUAUUCCCAAGAAAGGUGAUCCAGCCGAAUGUGGAAAUUAUAGAACAAUAUCAUUAAUAUCACACUUAAGCAAAAUUUUGCUGAAGAUCAUUCAAAAAUGGCUGUAUAUCGACAGGGAACUGCCAGAAAUUCAGGCUGGUUUCAGAAGAGGACGUGGAACCAGGGAUAUUGUUGCUGAUGUCAGAUGGAUCCUGGCUGAAGGAGAAUACCAGAAGGAUGUUUACCUGUGUUUUAUUGACUAUGCAAAGGCAUUUGACUGUGUGGAUCAUAACAAACUAUGGAUAACAAUGAGAAGAAUGGGAAUUCCAGAACACUUAAUUGUGCUCAUGAGGAACCUUUCUAUAGAUCAAGAGGCAGUUGUUCAGACAGAACAAGGGGAUAAGUCAGGAAAAGUGUGCAUCAGGGCUGUGUCCUUUCACCGUACCUAUUCAAUCUGUAUGCUGAACAAAUAAUACGAGAAGCUGGACUAUAUGAAGAAGAACAGGGCAUCAGGAUCAGAGGAAGACUCAUUAACAACCUGCAUUAUGCAGAUGACACAACCUUGCUUGCUGAAAGGGAAGAGGACUUGAAGCACUUACUAAUAAAGAUCAAGGACCACAGCCUUCAAUAUGGAUUACACCUCAACAUAAAGAAAACAAAAAUCCUCACAACUGGACCAAUGAGCAACAUCAUGAUAAACGGAGUAAAGAUUGAAGUUGUCGAGGAUUUCAUUUUACUUGGAUCCACAAUCAACAGCCAUGGAAGCAGCAGUCAAGAAAUCAAAAGACGCGUUGCAUUGGGCAAAUCUGCUCCAAAGGACCUCUUUAAAGUGUUGAAAAACAAAGAUGUCACCCUGAAGACUAAGGUGUGUCUGACCCAAGCCACGGUAUUUUCAGUCACAUCAUAUGCAUGUGAAAACUGGACAAUGAAUAAGGAAGACCGAAGAAGAGUUGACGCCUUUGAAUUGUGGUGUUGGCGAAGAAUAUCACGGACUGCCAAAAGAACGAACAAAUCUGUCUUGGAAGAAGCGUGGCCAAAAUGCACCUUAGAAGCAAGGAUGGCGAGACUGCAUCUUACAUACUUUGGACAUGUUGUUAGGAGGGAUCAGUCCCUGGAGAAGGACAUCAUGCUUGGCAGAGUACAGGGUCAGUGGAAAAGAGGAAGACCCUCAGCAAGGUGGAUUGACACAGUGGCUGCAACAAUGAGCUCAAGCAUAACAACAAUUGUAAGGAUGGUGUGAGACCAGGCAGUGUUUCGUUCUGUUGUGCAUAGGGUUGCUAUGAGUUGGAACCAACUCAAUGGCACCUAACAACAACAGCAGCAACCAGGGGUGGGAGGGAGGAAAAAAGGAGAGCUACGGUUUAGGGGGCACAGAGUUUAUGUUAAUGGUGGUAUAAUAAUUCAGAAAAGGAUGGUAAGAGGGGUUGCACAACAUGAAGAAUGUAAUCAGUGUCACUGAAUUACACAUGUAGAAAUUAUUGAAUGGGCAAAUGUUUUGAAAUGUAUAUUUGUACCACAAUUCCAAAAAAAAAAAAGAAUCUAGUAGCAUUAGAAAGUUUAAACAAUAAAUUUCCAUAG